AACGAACGCUGGCGGCAUGCCUAACACAUGCAAGUCGAACGAGACCUUCGGGUCUAGUGGCGCACGGGUGCGUAACGCGUGGGAACCUGCCCUUAGGUUCGGAAUAACUCCCCGAAAGGGGUGCUAAUACCGGAUAAUGUCUUCGGACCAAAGAUUUAUCGCCUUUGGAUGGGCACGCGUUGGAUUAGCUAGUUGGUAGGGUAAAAGCAUACCAAGGGGACGAUCCAUAGCUGGUCUGAGAGGAUGAUCAGCCACACUGGGACUGAGACACGGCCCAGACUCCUACGGGAGGCAGCAGUGGGGAAUAUUGGAAAAUGGGGGAAAGCCUGAUCCAGCAAUGCCGCGUGAGUGAUGAAGGCCUUAGGGUUGUAAAGCUCUUUUACCCGGGAUGAUAAUGACAGUACCGGGAGAAUAAGCCCCGGCUAACUCCGUG
rnacentral:rRNA from 1 species